AUUUGGAGAGGAUGCUUUUGGCACGGCGCCGUCCGAGUUCCUUGGAACAGGACGCCACAGAGGGUGAGAGCCCCGUACGGACGGACGCCUAGCCUCUACAAAGCUCCUUCGACGAGUCGAGUAGUUUGGGAAUGCUGCUCAAAAUGGGAGGUAAAUUUCUUCUAAAGCUAAAUACCGGCCAGAGACCGAUAGCGCACAAGUAGAGUGAUCGAAAGAUGAAAAGCACUUUGAAAAGAGGGUUAAAAAGUACGUGAAAUUGUUGAAAGGGAAGCGCCUGUGACCAGACUUGCGCCCCGUGGACCAUCCGGCGUUCUCGCCGGUGCACUCCGCGGGGCGCAGGCCAGCAUCGGUUCUCCUAGGGGGAUAAAGGCCGCGGGAACGUAGCUCCUUCGGGAGUGUUAUAGCCCGUGGUGGCAUGCCCCUGGGGGGACCGAGGACCGCGCUUCGGCAAGGAUGCUGGCGUAAUGGUCACCAGCGACCCGUCUUGAAACACGGACCAAGGAGUCAAGCAUUGGGGCGAGUGUAUGGGUGCCAAACCCGCACGCGAAAUGAAAGUAAACGCAGGUGAGAGCUUCGGCGCAUCAUCGACCGAUCCUGAUGUCUUCGGAUGGAUUUGAGUAAGAGCCUUACCGCUUGGACCCGAAAGAUGGUGAACUAUGCCUGAAUAGGGUGAAGCCAGAGGAAACUCUGGUGGAGG
rnacentral:rRNA from 1 species